GGGUGUAUGGUUUGCUGUCACAACUUUUGGGGCAGCAGCAGAGGUUCUGGAUCAGAUACUGCUUGAACAUAUGGGUGUUUCUAUGGAAGUGGAAGCCAAAUGAUGUGAAGCUACAGACCUGACUGCUGAAAGAAGCAGGUAUACAAUGAGGAUGCUCUUAGACUGAUCAUCAUCGUUGAAGGCAUGUGUCCUAUGGAGUACAGAUAACUUUUUACCAACUUCGGCUAUGUUCUAACCACAUCUGUUCAUUGAGUGGGGAAGCUUAGACACCAUGAUCGAGGCACUGGUAACCAGAACAUUGGAUUACUGUAAUACAGUCUCUAUCUGGGAAUGCCCUUGAAGCUUUUAGGACACUAAAGCCAAUGCUAGGUAUAUAAGUAGAAUAGCUCACCAUGAAUGGAAAGAACUGCACUGGCUAUCAAUUUGCAAUGAAGGCAGAUUCAAGGAAUAGACAUAUAAAGCCUAGACAACAUAAAACCAGUUUACCUGAAAGACACAUUAGGUCUCUGUGAUCUUCAGGAGAGGCCUUUUUGUUUGUAUCACCUCACACUGAGUUCUGUCUGGAAGCAAUGUAACAGUGGGACUUCUCCAUCAUCUGAAAUGAAUUCCUCUCCACAGGUUGUCAGGCACCGAUCAUCAUAUACUUCUCACACACACACAUAUGAAAAAAAAAAUACCAUGGUUUUUCCAUCCCUUUACCUGAUUCCAUUGUAUUAAGCCUUGUCUUGUUGAGCCUUGCAGUCUGUAAUAUUGUUAUAUUUUUCAGUGUUUUGCUUUAUAAUUUAUUGUAAAUUGCUUUGGUUUUUUUUAAUGAUGUGUAGUAUAUAAAUAUGUUUAAAUAUAUAGACAUUAGGGAAUCAGGUUAUAAACUGGUUUUCUGCCUCAUUCCAUUUGUUUGUUGGAGAGAUCUGUCUGGGUGGCAAAGUUGCUGUCCCAAUGUUUCCUUGGCCAUUUGUGAUUGUGCAUUAGAGUUUCACAAACUUCAAGUAUACUUGUAGUCUCAGUUAUGACUUCCCACAAUUCUUGCCUGGAGCUACAUGGCAUACAAUUUUGUUAGAACAGGGCCUUCCUUACUUGCAUAAGUGUAAGCAGUGAGUAAGUGAUUAGUUAAGACUAUGAGCUAAUGCCUUCUGAGUUAUAAAUAUGAAAUAUAAAUGACUCUGGCAUUUCAGGUUACUAACCGAUCACUGGUGAUGAGGCUUUCAGAUGAAAAGAAAAUGAUUUAACACUGAACACAGUGUUCUUGAUGUUACCCUCUUUUAAGUCAUUAACAUCUAUUAUCUACAAAUUUAAAAGUCUCUAAGUAAGCUCCAUAGACCUGAACGCUCCAAAAGAAAUUAAAAAAUUUAAAUUGCCAUAAUUAUGGGGCCAAUCACCCCUUCCUAAGAGAAACCCCAAAGGAAGGAAGUAAAGGGGAUGAAAUACCCAUGUUGUUUCAUUUGCUGAGAUAUUUCUCUAAUUGCUCUGUAAGAUGGGUAUAGUUGGAUGGGACAUCCUCUGCUAUGAAGUAGGCCACAGAUCUUAUGUCUUCCCAUGAUACACCUAGAAAGUAGACUUAAAAAAAAACCUGGAGGCUGUUCAUUUCAUCAAACUAUUUAGAAUAAGAGGACAUAGAAUCACAAUGAUAUUGGGCUAGAAAGGGACCUGGAAACCAUUUAAUCCAGUUUCUUCAGAUAAAAACCUUGAGUGAAUAUAAUAUAUUUAUAUUGUACCACAAGUGGAGUAGGCAAAGGUCAUGUGGAUAGAGGUGGAUGGAGCUGUGAUUUAUUUAUUUAUUUAUUUAGGCCUCCACAAUAUUAGAAAGACAAGAAAAUGAUGUGUUCUGUACUGCAGCCAAAAUUAGUGUGUAAGUUAACACAUCUCUAAUCUCCCCAAAAGGAAAAUAGUUAUCUUCAAGAUUGCCAUGCUACCUCCUUUUCAGAAAAUAAGUGGAUCCCCAAUCUAACUGUUUUAAACAUUAGUAGUUUAUACAUCAGGGACACAAUCCAUUCUGAUAUAUUUGAAAUAGUGGAUUAUCCUGUGACCACCAGAUGAAAAUACACUGUGUUGUUUUCUUUGAUUUAUUUUGCUUUCACUAGUGCUCCACUGAGUGACAAGCUUAUUUGUUUCCAAGUUUAAACUAGAGAGUCUCUUUCAGACUUUUACAUAUUGGUUAAAUCCCUUUUCUGAGCCACUGACAGAUAAUUUCCCAUUCAAUUGUUCUAAUUUGACUGAUGUACUAAAUAUGCCCAUCUUGCUAUAGCAGCUGGUAUAACCAGACCAAAACAAUUUGGAGAUCUCCAAAAACAGUUUUCUGUUAGGACUUUGGCAGUUAUAUCUUUUAGCUACAGUCUUGAAUCUUUUUCUGCAUCAUAUCUAACUGAACAUUAUGGGACCAAAUGCUGAGCAACUAUGCAUGGAAUUGUGAAACAGAGUGUACUUUGAAACAUUCUCAGUGUAAGUGUAGGCUUGAAACACUUAGCCAAGUAUGUAUCAGGGUUCAGCCAUUCAGCGUAGUAUAUCCACAAUGAUUACAGAAUAUAAGAAAACUAUUUUAGGAGGUAUCUCCACUACAGUUAUAACAGUUUGAUACCACUUUAACCACCAUCAUAAGGAAGCCUGGGAGUUGUAGUUCAGUGAAGUAUUUCAAAAUUCUCAGCUAGAAAGCUCUAGCAUACCCCACAACUACACCUCUGGAGUUCUUUAGGAGAAAAUUCUAAGUACCUCACUAAAAUACAAAUUCCAGUUUUUUGUAGGAUGAAGUCAUGGCAACUAAAGUGGUAUGCAGCUGUUGUACUGUAACUAUGUUGUGUAGAUACAUUUUUAGAUUGAUUAUUAAUAUGACUAACAGUGCUGCCCUACACAUACUUGGAAGUAAGACACAUUGAGCUCAAUGGAACUUACUCCCAGGUGGUAUAGGAUAUCAAGUGGUAUAGGAUAACAGUACAAUAUGCCACUAUCCAAGGAUAUUAUUACAAAUAACAAUGUGCUGGAGGAUGUCUUGCUGCAAACUGGGGGAGAGACAAGGGAAAAUCGAGUACAUGUUCCAGUUGAAGAACUGGUUUUGCAACCAAUCGUGCAAUCAGUACUGGAGCCAUCAGCAUGCCUAGGAAUCACAAGAACAAUGAACUACUGUUUGAAGAAGCAGAAAAAAGUAGACCAUGUCAUGCAAACAAUAUCUACUGAAAUUCCCUCUUGUACACAACCAUUAAAGAUACAGGAGCCCUAUCCCUUAUUUUCCUGGCAACCUACAUAAUGCUUCUCAAAGUGAUGUGGGGACUUGCAAUUAUUAUUUCCCCCCAAAAAACUGCCAGGGACCAACACCAUAUUUGCACCCAUCAACUACAGUUGUUUAUUUAUCUCCUGUAAACCUGCCAGAGACCAGCAGCCAAUGGUUCAGGGACUGGUGCCAAUGCAAGGACCAUCACUUUGAGUAUCACUGAAGUAAUGUAUGAAAGAUAAAGGAUGUUUAAACAGCUUGGUUUCUCAUUUCCCCAGCUUGACAGCCUUACAUUUCGUAUUUUCAUUGCAACAUGGGUACAGGUUGAGUCUCCCUUAUCCAGAUUUCCAAAAUCUGAAAUAUUCCAAAAUUCAAAAUUGUCCACUUGGGUGGCUGAG